rnacentral:rRNA from 1 species
GAUGAACGCUGGCGGCGUGCCUAAUACAUGCAAGUCGAGCGAACGGACGAGAAGCUUGCUUCUCUGAUGUUAGCGGCGGACGGGUGAGUAACACGUGGAUAACCUACCUAUAAGACUGGGAUAACUUCGGGAAACCGGAGCUAAUACCGGAUAAUAUUUUGAACCGCAUGGUUCAAAAGUGAAAGACGGUCUUGCUGUCACUUAUAGAUGGAUCCGCGCUGCAUUAGCUAGUUGGUAAGGUAACGGCUUACCAAGGCAACGAUGCAUAGCCGACCUGAGAGGGGGAUCGGCCACACUGGACUGAGACACGGUCCAGACUCCUACGGGAGGCAGCAGUAGGGAAUCUUCCGCAAUGGGCGAAAGCCUGACGGAGCAACGCCGCGUGAGUGAUGAAGGUCUUCGGAUCGUAAAACUCUGUUAUUAGGGAAGAACAUAUGUGUAAGUAACUGUGCACAUCUUGACGGUACCUAAUCAGAAAGCCACGGCUAACUACGUG